GCCCUGGUAGAUCAGUUGGAAGAUCUUCCGCUUUAUGUCAUGAGGACAGAGAAAUCUCAGCGGACGACGCGGGUUCGAAUUCCGUCCAGGGCA